rnacentral:lncRNA from 1 species
UACAAAUGAGCAAAGAAUAUCUGGUUCCAGGUGUCUGGUACUCCCGGCAAACACCAAUGAAUACAAUCUGCAUGCCUCAAUGGAUCAUUCUUUUGCUCUUCCGUCAACAGUUCUCCCCCAGUCUCUGUAUAAACCGAUGUGUGAGCAUCAAUUCGGUACUCUGAAAUCUGUGUUAUGUUGAUAAACGUAACGGGAACUUUCAUCUUCCCAACUACACUUGCCACUACGCUCAUCAUUUGCUUAUUUGAACCGCUUCCCCAGUGCUUCUUCUUCAUCACUGGUAUUGUUUCAUUGAAACAUUUGAUUCCUUCCUUGUUCCCCCAAUCCUGGCUUCUGCAAUUUGGUACCAAAGUUGAGUUACUAAUGGUUGCCCACCAACUGUUUGUGUUUUUUCCUCUGAGAAAAUGAGAAUAAUGAGAGAGAGAGAGAGAGAGAUGAACCUUGUGUGUGUAGGGGACAUGGUAGUGAACAAGACUCUGGUUUUGUUGGGAUUUAUAGUUGAGUCGACCCAGUUGGCCCACGUCUUCAAUCCUAUUCUAUAAGCUACAGGUGUAUCUAGUUCCUCGAACCCUUCGUUCCCAUUUGCAAAAGAACCCCAUCUGCUCUUAAUUUUAAAUAAUUGUUACCGAUUAAUCCUUAAUUAUAUAUACAAGUGAAGAUGUGUUUUGUUUGAAGUAUUAGAAUAGGGAACUUACAGUGAGUUGAUUCUAAGGCCACUCAUCCACCAGACAUAAGUAUUGAAGAUAAGAAUAUCCACUCCUAUCCAGUUUUUGGCAUGCCUGGCUACUGAAUCCACUUUCAAUAUUCUCUUCUUUGGAUCUGCUAUUAUGGGUUGAUCAGAAUUUGAUUCCACUAGAAAUGGAGCCCAGUAAAAUUCAAUACUCGUAUUGUAUUCCUGAGGAAGAAGAAGAUGAUGAUGAUGAUGAUUGAUCACUAAUUCUAGUUUAUUUAUUUCUCUUAUUUAUGCUGUUAUAUUUUUGCAUUCCAUUUUGUGAAUUAACUUUCUUUGUAGUAAAUCUUACUGUGUGUUAUAUUGUUUUCUACAGGAGGCACAGCAAAGAAUGAUGAGCACAAAAAUCACCGGUAUGCUAGUUUUAGAGACAUGGUAAUUUACUAAUAUUGCAUACACUUUGCAGUAAUUUAUUAGUAACUUGUAUAGUAAUCAGUACUAAAUAAAUAACAGGAUAAUGUUAGGGACCAUAGGAUAUAUUUUAGCAAUUCGAUAACACAAUGUUUUGGUAAUUACUACUCUAAAAUAUUAAACAAUUAGCUCUCUUGGUAAUUCAACAAGUCUUUUCAAGGUAAAGUUGUAAGGUAUAACUAGCUCUCUUUUGCCUAAAUAAGUUAUUCGGAAGUUCAGUCUUUAUACCUUG